rnacentral:lncRNA from 1 species
AUAAUAUAGUAUCUUAUCUUUUGGCAAAUUGGAUCAAGAUGGACAAUGGUUCUUUAGAGAGUUCUUCUCAUAAUCCCAUGGAAACGGUCUUACAUGGAAUCAUAGCUACGGUUCAUGAUAACGGUACGUGCUCAAGGCCGCGAAAUUGAGAAAAAUAGCUAUUCAAUCAAUCAAAAAUAUUAUUCAAACAUGCGCUCGGGACAAGCUGGUCAACUUGGAAUUUUUUGGAAGCAUUGAUAAAUAUGUAUAAAUGUGUUAUGUAUAUUAUUGUUUAUUAAAUAUCAGUGGCGAAUCAUGGACUCAUAAUUGUUUGACAAGGCUUGACGGAAAUUGGAGUCUACACACCUAUGCCUACAUUAAACAAUCUAUAAGUACACUAUAAAUGCUAUAUUUUUAUCCUAAUAAUGAAGUAUUGUGCGUUUUUAUAUUUAAUAUAUAAUAUACGUAAAAUGAAUAUACCCAUUAUUAAUUCAAAGAAA